AUAAAGCUGGCCACACCUCGAAAGGCUGCCCGAAUCUAUUCAGUGAAUUGACGGAAGAUGGAAAGCUGCAUGGCAAUACAUUCUGGAAGCUGUGACAUGCGAUGAAAACGAACUGUUUAAGGGCAUCAUCUGUGGGGAACGCUUUAACAAUUUUGUUAAAGUUGUCCUUCAGGUUACAGGAAAAGAUGUACCUCAAUACAUAACACCAUUCGAAGAAGCCGGCCUGCGUCAACUACUACUUCAAAACAUUAAAAAUUCUGGCUACAGAAAACCAACACCUAUUCAGAAAGCUUCAGUUGCAGGCGGCGUACUUGGUACCGGUUUUGAACAUAUUGUUAGAACAAGGUGUUGCUGCUGCGUCUCGUGCCAUGGGGCAAAAGCCAGAAGUUGUAAUUGUCGCACCCACUCGUGAAUUGGCCAUUCAAAUUCACCGCGAGGCGUGUAAAUUCUCCUACAGUUCGGUUUUAAAGUUUGUGAUUAUAUAUGGAGGAACUGUCACGAGCCAUCAGCGGUCAAAUCUUCAAGCUGGGUGCAAUAUUCUUGUCGCGACUGCGGGGCGAUUCAAGGAUUUUCUCGACGGUGGAGUAUUUGACUUCUCAGGGGUGAGGUUUUAAAUUUUGGACGAAGCUGAUCGAAUGCUUGAUAUGGGUUUCGGCCCGAAUGUUGACAAAAUUGUCAACCAUCCAACGGUGAAUCCGAAAAUAUGUUCUCGAUUGCUUUUGAGUAUGAAAUUCGACUGAUGUAAUACUAUUUGUUUCUCUGUAGGGAAUCCGUCGUGUUGUAUAUUUUCGGCUACAUUCCCAGAUGAAGUAGAAGCGCUGGCUGCGACGUACAUGGAAGACUACAUAUUCGUCACAACAGGCAUUGUCGGUGGCACCAAUCCGGAUGUUGAACAGUGGUUUUUUCAGUGCUCGAAAAGAGAUAAGAGAGUUAAGCUGAUCGAAGUUUUACACGAUCUCGGUGAUGCCAAGACUAUCGUUUUUGUCGACAGCAAAAAGACGGCGGAUUUCGCCGCUGCAUUCUCGUGCAAUAACAAC